UCAAAGUAACUGAGAAAGGUAUGCAUGCUAUUGUCACCAUUUUAAUUAAUUAUUUACACCAACCGAUUCACUUUUCAAAGUAUAAUACCAAAUAUAUAUAAAACUGAUAAAUUACUUAAUAAUCAAUGAUGCAGAUGCUUCCCCCACAUAAGAUGGUAGUCCAUGUACACUAGUAAAAUAUACUUCCAGUGUAUGCCGUCUUCGUGCAUAAAUAAUGUUUUAGUCGUAAAAGUGAUUAUGGAAAAAUAUUUCCUGUUCUUUUUGAAGAUAAUAGCUCAAUGCAUCAUUUUUCAGUACCAAGGGCACGGUUACGGGGAAAAAGAACAACGAAAAAAAAACUGUACAAGAUACGAAUCUUUAAAAAAUCGACAGAAAAUACAUUAAUUGGAACGGCUAAGGGUGCCCCCUGAUCUGUGUAAUUUUAAAGGGCUGGGCGGACGUUAUCAGUCUGAACUCAUUUUAUAUAUCAAGGAGUAAACGUUUAUUGUACAUUUUAUUAGUUAUUAUAAUUUUACGAUGCUCUGUGGAUGAUUUUUGUCAGUUAAUGGUGGCAGGGUUUCGAGCAGCGAAAGCUUUCGUCUGUAGGACCUGUGCAAUGCGACAGCAAAGUUUAAACUACGGUGGCGUAUUAAACCCAUGACCUGAUAACAUUCCUAAAGUUAUAUCCAUUCACUUAUUUCGGAGCCUCUGAGAUUCUGAGUUGGGUGCGCCCUUGGUUUCCCCAGACUACAGAGACUGGCUGUAAUGAUCAAAUUUGUCUUAUGAAAACAGAUGGAUGGAAUCCAUGAUUACUGUACUUAUUUUAAACCCCCUUAAAUGUUCUGAAUAAUCCCCCAGCCAGCCACCCUCCUAAUAGUACACGCCUUACGCGUAUAGAUCAUGCAGCUUCCCGGGUGACCUAUCUACCACACGUGGAUUUCGGAUAAUACAGCUUCCUGGGCUACUAGAAGAAAAACAUUUUAGGUGAUCGCGUUAAAAGAAGACGCGUAUGUUUCGUUUUACCGAGGGAAUAGAUGUGGCGGAGUAAGGGGGUUAGCUCAAGGGAAGCAAAAUGCUGUUCUUCCUCUUUGUAUUAACGGUAUUCAAGUAGCUUUGUUCCACGUUACUCGUCCACGUCAUAAGCCUUGCGCUUCUUCUUUCGCAGAACGGCCCACGUGACCUUAAUAUUAAAGGGGAUGUGGACGUCUGCUUUACUAAUCGAUCUCUGUUCUGUACAUCUCGAUCCUGGAGAAAGGUCCCUGCUUAGUUAGAGUUUUACUUGUGGCCAGAUGUUGUUAGAUUUAAAUACAUUCUUAUUGUUAAACUCAUUUUUGGGAUUAUACAUUUCUUUGUAAAUCUUUAGUUCCCUGUAAAAAAUAUUUAUGCUAAGAGCAGCAGGAAACCACUAUUGGUACCACCAUCGACUCACCAACUCAGCAUUCUCGUUUUUAAUUGCAAGCCUCGAAGUUGUCAGUGUGGAAUUUGCACGGUCUUUCACUUCUUUCUAGUCAUACCCCCAAAUGUGAGUUGGUCAGAUUACACAGUGCUCUCGCUGAUGCUGGCAUGUAUGAGAUGACUUUGCCAUUGCCUGUGUUGCCAUGAUGGCCUCUGACCCUACUGACACUGCAUUAGGUGUUGUCCCUUUGCAAAGAUAUUACCUAAACUGAGAGACUCACAGGAAAAAACUGCAUGGGCUCUUUCUGAAAAAUGUGUACAUACCUAUGGUCCUGGAUAAUAGAUAUUGAUUAAAGAUUUGGAUACCUCUCUAGUGCUCUUCAAAUGGAUGUGAACUUUCUAGAUCCUUCUUACCAAGAAGAAAACCUGGGCGUUCCACUCACACAUUGAUCCAUCAAGAGUUACUCCAUCAAGAACACAGCAAGAAGACGUUGACAUCAGUCAUUGCCUCAAGCAACGCGAAACCAGAAGAAGGUGGCGAAUCCAGAAAAGAACAUUCUACAUAAUUGUUUAAAAAAUAGUUUAUAUGUUCCCUCUGAUUCUGGUUGCUACCUUAAUUGUGAUACUUAUUCUAUUGCAUGUGACAAUGCUUCAGAUUCAGAAUUAUUUGUAAAAACGCAUGAGAAGAAGGAAGAUGGGAUUUAAUACUUUCAUUAACCUUGCACUGUAUUUUGUUCAAAGCAAUAAUGUAUGUGUUCUCAUUUCCAUAUUCAUGCAUGAGGAGUUCUUCCGUGGAGUGUACCUCAAGUGGAAGAAUUACUGGGAUAGACUCCUCAUUUGGGAUGACCUAGUAAUUACUGCACAGAGUAACAGACUAAAGUCAGCAAAGUACCUUUGUUAUCAGUUUUUCAGGAUGGGGUAUCCACUGUUUCAGUUUUACAAAUUCAUCUUUUUCUUGUUUAAGGAUAGCUUGAAGGAUACAAGGGGAGCUAUGUUUCAUUAUUCAACACAAUGGAAGACAGAAAAUUGGCCAUAGUUUCUGAAAGCAGACUUUAAAGUUAAAUGGUAUCAAUGUUUUUGCCUUUUUACAGAAUCUCACCAGCUGUCAUCCUAUCACAUUUGCUGUAGGAUGGCCUGUUCUUGGCUUAUCCUAAAAAUGAAGGACAUGCACUAUUUGGAGAUGGUUUACCUGUAUAUUUCUUUACUAUCUGACUUUUCUUUGUACCACAGAGGGUAGCACAAUAAAAAAUGUUGUAUUUACUUUA